UGUAGUUUAGGUGCUCGUUGCAAUAUCUUGGAUGGUCACUGCAACACUCUGUGGUUGUGGUUGUCGUUCUCUACAACACUCUUGUUGAUCAAUAUGGUUACUCCUUCAUAAAGAGCUAGUUCGUUUGAAGGAACCUGUGAACUCUGAUAGUCCGUACCGUCAUAUUCCUCAAGAUAGUUGGAGCUUCUAACUGAACAAUUUGGUGUUGGAUUCUUAAGCAGGAGCCAGAUUCUUUAGCAGUAUAUUUACGGACCUCUUUAUGUCGCUUGUGCAACAUUGGUUCUAGAUCAGAGUGUUUGCAGAUCUCUGAAGAUCACUUCCGCAAUGUUUGUUCUUCAUUAGCUGGCAUGACUGGAAGAGAGGAGCACUUAGCAAAGUAUUACAAGAUCAUUGAUGGUGUAAAACAAAGUUCAGGUUAGUAAAUUUUGUCUAUGACAAAGUGAAGACAACUAGUUUUUGUUCAUUUCAUUGAAGUCAUUCCUGAAGUAAAUCAAAGAUAUGACUUCUUAUCUCAUGUUAAAUGACUAAAAUCAUCCUUAGAUUACUCUAAACACCUUUUAUCUUCUUAAAGCAAAAAAAUCCAUCUAUGAUAGUACAUCAUUAAGUCUAGGGCUUUGCAAUUGAAAUGGAAUGAUAUGUAAUUUAAACUGAAUGACAUGUAUGUAAUGUAGGGGU